UGAAUACGAGAUGCUACGGCGUCGAAGCAGGCUAUGUCAUACUUCCAAGAAAAGCUCGCACUGUCAUAAACAAAUAAUGCCUGUACCAUAACCGACACAGGUGGGUAGGUAGAGUAUACUAAGGGGCGCGAGAUAACUCUCUCUAAGGAACUCGGCAAAAUGACUCCGUAACUUCGGGAGAAGGAGUGCCUUAUUUAUAAGGUUGCAAUAACAAGAUCCAAGCAACUGUUUAUCAAAACACAGGUCUCCGCUAAGUCGUAAGACGAUGUAUGGGGGCUGACGCCUGCCCAGUGCCAGAAGGUUAAAGAAGUUGGUUAGCAUUCGCGAAGCUGAUAACUGAAGCCCUGGUGAACGGCGGCCGUAACUAUAACGGUCCUAAGGUAGCGAAAUUCCUUGUCGGGUAAGUUCCGACCCGCACGAAAGGCGUAAUGAUUUGGAUACUGUCUCGGAGAGGGGCUCGGUGAAAUAGACUUGUCUGUGAAGAUGCGGACUACCUGCACCAGGACAGAAAGACCCUAUGAAGCUUUACUGUAACUUGAGAUUGAAAUUGGACUUUACUUGCGCAGUAUAGGUGGGAGGCGUUGAUAAUAUUCUUGCGGGAUUAUUUGAGCCAUCAGUGAGAUACCACUCUUGUAAUGUUAGAUUUCUAACUUUGUAUCAUUAUCUGGUCAAAGGACAGUUUCAGGCGGGCAGUUUGACUGGGGCGGUCGCCUCCUAAACGGUAACGGAGGCGCACAAAGGUUUCCUCUGAACGGGUAGAAAUCGUAUCUAGAGUGUAAAGGCAUAAGGAAGCUUGACUGUGAGACCUACAAGUCGAGCAGGGACGAAAGUCGGUCUUAGUGAUCUGACGGUGCUGAGUGGAAAGGCCGUCACUCAACGGAUAAAAGUUACUCUAAGGAUAACAGGCUGAUCUCCCCCAAGAGUUCACAUCGACGGGGAGGUUUGGCACCUCGAUGUCGGCUCAUCGCAUCCUGGGGCGGUAGUACGUCCCAAGGGUUGGGCUGUUCGCCCAUGAAAGCGGUACGCGAGCUGGGUUCAGAACGUCGUGAGACAGUUCGGUCCAUAUCCGGUGUAGGCGUUAGAAUAUUGAGAGGAGCCUUCUUUAGUACGAGAGGACCGAGAAGGACAUACCUCUGGUGUACCAGUUAUCGUGCCAACGGUAAACGCUGGGUAGCUAUGUAUGGAGUGGAUAACCGCUGAAAGCAUCUAAGUGGGAAGCCCACCUCAAGAUAAGUAUUCU
rnacentral:rRNA from 1 species